UUGGAGGGCAAGUCUGGUGCCAGCAGCCGCGGUAAUUCCAGCUCCAAUAGCGUAUAUUAAAGUUGUUGCAGUUAAAAAGCUCGUAGUUGAAUUUCGGGGUUAGUAGGCUGGUCGUGCCACAGGUAUGCACUGGUCUUACUGAUUCCUCCUUCCUGAUGAACCGUAAUGCCAUUAAUUUGGUGUUGCGGGGAGUCUGGACUGUUACUUUGAAAAAAUAGAGUGUUUAAAGCAGGCUAACGCUUGAAUACAUUAGCAUGGAAUAACGAAAUAGGACGUUCGAUCUUAUUUUGUUGGUUUCUAAGAUUGACGUAAUGAUUAAUAGGGAUAGUUGGGGGCAUUAGUAUUCAAUUGUCAGAGGUGAAAUUCUUGGAUUUAUUGAAGACUAACUACUGCGAAAGCAUUUGCCAAGGAUGUUUUCAUUGAUCAAGAACGAAAGUUAGGGGAUCGAAGACGAUCAGAUACCGUCGUAGUCUUAACCAUAAACUAUGCCGACUAGGGAUCGGAUGAUGUUAAUUUUAUAAUGACUCAUUCGGCGCCUUACGGGAAAC
rnacentral:rRNA from 1 species